rnacentral:lncRNA from 1 species
CUUAUAGCUAAAAUGCCUUAGGCAUGAGGUUUCUGCUCAGAAUUCCAAUUUUCCCAGUUCCUUCCAGACCUCAGCCAGGACUUAAGCUGAUAUGCAAAUAGAAGAAGCCUGGGGCUCAACAGAGGGCAGAUUUCAGGCCCAAGGGAAAAAAAAAAAAGGUUAAAGUGUCUUUUUACCUGAACUCAAACUAGACCCCAACCAAAAAGUAAAUUAUAUGGUAUUUAUUAAUUACUGGCCAGUCAUCUUUUUUAGGACUCUUGCUUUUUCUUAGAUUCUGCAUUUUUUUUUGGAGCUCAUGAUUUUAAUCCCACAGACGGGUUAAUGUUUUCUGAUCAGUUCUAUUUCUGAUCAACUGUGGAGUUUUUAAACAUUGCAAUGGAGAUUUCACCUGAAAAAGCUACAAGGGUGUUACACUUGUGUUAUGUGUUGUAUGUCGGUAUGUCUGUAUGUGUGUAUGUCCAUAUAUCCUGCAGUGAUAUGACAAUUGACAGAUGAGAGCACU